GAAACAAGGAGGUAGAGAGAGGUUGGCCACUGUAGUUGUCAUGGAAACGGCGAGGCGGAGCAUGUGGCGCCUCUUUGAGUGGGACCAGUUUGUUAUUGGAGGUCACGUGGCCAGUCGCUAGGGACAGAUGCACGUCCUGUACCUCGGAUUGAAGCGUCGCGAGCUGCUGCUAUCGCUAGUUUGAACAAAAUGGCUGCAGAGGCACCACUAACGAAAGCCCGCUGAACGGUAGGAAUUAUCAUCGACGAUGUUUUAAUGGAUAUCUUGGAAAUACCCCCUCUCCAAAUAUUGGAUUUUGCAAGAAUUUGCUCUCUUGGAUUCCUCUAUUUGCGAACAUUUCACAGUCGCGUGCUGUAAAACAUAUAUUUUUUUGCACUUUAAAAAUGUCAGCUUAUCAAAGACAAGCCGAGAGAAGAAGCAGGGAACACGAGACCAGAACCAUUUGAUGGAAGAAAAGAAAAAGAGAAAGCAAGAAGAAAAGAAAAAGAAGGAAGCUGCUCAGAAAAAGGUCACUGAACAGAAAACCAAAGCCACCAGCUGCAGCUACUCCCCAGCACAUUCCACCAAUGUUUUAUGAUGGGGAAAUGGUGUGUGUGAAAGAAAAGUCUCCUGUCCUGCUAACCUGAACCAGCUCCAGUCCCUGUGCCUUCAUCCUGUCUGUCUGGCCUCCAUCUUGGGUGCACACAAACAUUCAAAGCCUUAAAGCUGCAAUAUGUAACGUUUUGGGCAACCUGACCAAAUCUACAUAGACGUGUGUUAUAGAUCAGUCAUUCUCAUUUAAAUCAAGUCUAAGAAGCGGUAUACUGUAUCUGGUCUAUGUGUGCUAUUUCUAUGGUUCCCGUUCUUAAGUGUCGUUUUUGCAUAUUUUACUUUCGGUUUUGUACACCAGCUGUAAAAACAAUAUUUUGGGUUAUGGAAAAUAUAUUUCAUAGCGGUUGAAAUGGUACAAUGAUUCUCUACAUUAUACUUGCUUGUUUUGUCACAAACUGAAAUUAGGCAAACUAUUAGACUUUUAGAAACCAGGAAAUGGUGGGGUGAUAUCUGCAUAGUGCAUCUUUAAAAUGUUUUAAAUUGUUGAAUAAAAGUAUAGUGCCAUUUCAAUAUACAGUAGUCAGACCCAGGUGUUUUGAGUCCUCCUGCCUUUUAGAACUCUAUAUGAGUUAUCAGGAGCCCUCAGAGAGCUGUUCCUCUAAACUACAGCCCUCCUGCCUUUUAGAACUCUAUAUGAGUUAUCAGGAGCCCUCAGAGAGCUGUUCCUCUAAACUACAGCCCUCCUGCCUUUUAGAACUCUAUAUGAGUUAUCAGGAGCCCUC
ensembl:lncRNA